UACGUAGGGGGCAAGCGUUGUCCGGAUUUAUUGGGCGUAAAGAGCGUGUAGGCGGCUUGGUAGGUCCGCUGUGAAAACUCGAGGCUCAACCUCGAGACGCCGGUGGAAACCAUCAGGCUAGAGUCCGGAAGAGGAGAGUGGAAUUCCUGGUGUAGCGGUGAAAUGCGCAGAUAUCAGGAAGAACACCCGUGGCUAAGGCGGCGCUCUGGAACAUUUCUGACGCUGAGGCUCGAAAGCGUGGGGAGCAAACAGG
rnacentral:rRNA from 1 species